AAGUAUCCAUCAAUCGGGCGAGCCUAAGAGAAACUCUGUUCGAAUCGUGUCAAGGAUGGCACGUAUUUCAGCCAUGGAAUCUAUAACAACAAAUAGGUCUGAGGAAAAUUUCAAUCCAUUUCAAAACGACAAGCCAGCAAAGCACAAUAGAGUCAGAGUUUUAGAAUUGGAAAACAUUGAAUCAAACGAGGAUGAAACGGAUGAUUUAACGCAGCUGAAUCGAAUAAAUGAACAAGCCACAGGUGGUCGAGCAAGAGUGUCUCUUUUUGAAUAAAGAACUACAAUGUGACGGGAAAAGGACUUGUUGUUUAAAGAAUAAACUUUAACUUAUUCG